rnacentral:rRNA from 1 species
CACGAAUCCAGACCCUACGGGGUGCAGCAGGCGCGAAAACUUGACAAUGCGAGAAAUCGUGAUCAGGGAACUCCAAGUGGCUGGGGUAAGACCCAGUCUUUUCUUGACUCUACAAAGGUCUUGGAAUAAGGGGUGGGUAAGGACGGUGCCAGCCGCCGCGGUAAUACCGGCGCCUCAAGUGGUAGUCGCUUUUAUUGGGCCUAAAACGUCCGUAGCCGGUCUGAUACAUUCGUGGGUAAAUCAACUAGCUCAACUAGUUGAAUUCUGCGAGGACGGUCAGACUUGGGACCGGGAGAGGUGUGGGGUACGCUCAGGGUAGGGGUAAAAUCCUGUCAUCCUAAGCGGACCACCUGUUGCGAAGGCGCCACACUAGAACGGAUCCGACGGUCAGGGACGAAGCCUAGGGGCACGAACCGGAUUAGAUACCCGGGUAGUCCUAGGUGUAAACGCUGUGGACUUGAUGUUGGGGGCGCUCCGAGCGCUUCCAGUGUCGAAGCGAAGGUGAUAAGUCCACUGCCUGGGAAGUACGGUCGCAAGGCUGAAACUUAAAGGAAUUGGCGGGGGAGCACCGCAACCUGAGGAUUGUGCGGUUU